AUUGAACGCUGGCGGCAGGCCUAACACAUGCAAGUCGAGCGGCAGCGGGUCCUUCGGGAUGCCGGCGAGCGGCGGACGGGUGAGUAAUGCCUAGGAAUCUGCCUGGUAGUGGGGGAUAACGUUCGGAAACGGACGCUAAUACCGCAUACGUCCUACGGGAGAAAGUGGGGGAUCUUCGGACCUCACGCUAUCAGAUGAGCCUAGGUCGGAUUAGCUAGUUGGUGGGGUAAAGGCUCACCAAGGCGACGAUCCGUAACUGGUCUGAGAGGAUGAUCAGUCACACUGGAACUGAGACACGGUCCAGACUCCUACGGGAGGCAGCAGUGGGGAAUAUUGGACAAUGGGCGAAAGCCUGAUCCAGCCAUGCCGCGUGUGUGAAGAAGGUCUUCGGAUUGUAAAGCACUUUAAGUUGGGAGGAAGGGCAGUCAGUUAAUACCUGGUUGUUUUGACGUUGCCAACAGAAUAAGCACCGGCUAACUUCGUGCCAGCCGCCGCCGUAAAAC
rnacentral:rRNA from 1 species